UCUUCUUGAGGAGCUUAACCGCUUCACACCACCAAGGAGAGCUCAUGGAAAACAAGAAGUUUUGCUUCGACGAAGGGAAGAUAAGCGACGAGCUGGUUGGUUUUGAUCCGGGGGCUUCUUUCCACGGUGUCUACCUGAGAAGGACAGCUUUUUUUUCAUUUGUUUCACCACUCCAGAGGUCAACUGUCCUUCAGCGGGAGCAGAAAAGAGGAAGACUAGCCAACGGGGCGUCAAGAACCCUGAUACAAUGAUGCCUCUUGUCUUGGGUUUCUGGCUCGGUGACCACACCUGGGAAAGACUGGCCCUCGUCUUCCUCUUUGCGCGGAUGAAAGGUCAGAGGUCGUCCUUCCAGCCUGUUGAUAGGCGUCUUACCAGACAAGGUUAGAUGUAAUUAUUGGUGUCUAAUACUGUCUGGUAAUGCCGUCCAUUAAAUGGCAUUACCUUCCGCUCUCUUCCUUCCCCUCCUCUUGCUCUGUGCACCUGACAUGCAUCGUAUUGACAAAAGGCAGACCAGGGAGGCACAUCAACAUAUUAACAGUAAUGGCAGAUGGUGUUGAAUGGUGAUGACUAUGGAACUAUGAUCCUUGCACUGGAAGAUGGAUUGAUUUCUGUGUGGUUUCUUCCAUGUGACACGAGUCAAAGUUUCCCCUUUAAGCACCACUCGUGGAUUUCUUCUAGCUGGUUUGAAAUAUUGGUAAAUUUGUAUUUUUUAAAUUAAAUAGAUUUGCUUUCUUCCUUUUUCUGUAUUACUUUAAUUUUUUUUCCUUUAGCUAACACAUUACGCACUGUAAAUCGCAAUUUUAACCAUAUUCUGUGUGCUGAAAUGCUCUGUAAUGUGAAUAAACAUUAAAUAAAAGGGUCAAAAUUUAA